UCCGCCGUGAGGCGGAAUCUGAAGGAAGACGGACGCAAAUGCUUGCACUGACGAACAGAAACUUCAUACAAAGGCUGAAUCAGGACGGAUGAGCUUGCGGAACAAAGUGAAGUCCGAUACUGCCCGAAUCCUGUACAGUAAAUGGAGCAGUGACAUGAGCAGAAGGUUGUCGUU
rnacentral:ncRNA from 1 species